GGUUAUAACUCUCCUAGAUUAUUUUAAGUUAACCAUAUGAUUACUGUACAUCUAAUAAGCUGACCUGCCAACUUUUGUUACUCCAGGUUGAGGGAAACAGCUGUAACAGUACUUUCAACAUGCCUGAUUAAAAGACAUUGCUUGCCACAACUGACAAGUUUGCAGAACACAGUUGGGAUGUGAAGACAAUUUGGAAGUUCGCUAUAUACUCUCUUUUUUACUCUUUUACUUGUUUCAGUCAUUUGACUGCGGCCAUGCUGGAGCACCGCCUUUAAUCGAGCAACUUGACCCCGGGACUUAUUCUUUUGUAAGCCCAGUACUUAUUCUAUCGGUCUCUUUUGCCGAACCGCUAAGUAAUGGGGACAUAAACACACCAGCAUCGGUUGUCAAGCAAUGCUAGGGGGACAAACACAGGCACACAAACACACACAUGCAUAUAUAUAUAUACAUAUAUACGACGGGCUUCUUUCAGUUUCCGUCUACGAAAUCCACUCACAAGGCUUUGGUCGGCCCAAGGCUAUAGUAGAAGACACUUGCCCAAGGUGCCAUGCAGUGGGACUGAACCUGGAACCAUGUGGUUGGUAAACAAGCUACUUACCACACAGCCACUUCUGCACCUAUAUAAGAAAAUUUUGUGUUAAACUGAGCAAAAUGUUACCAAACUGCUUAUGGAUCAGCAUGUAUGAGCUGAGCUUCUGUUUUCUUGCUAGCUCUGGAGGCCAGAUAAAACAAGUCCACUAGGAAGCUCAUGAUGAUCCAAUUUUCAACAACAUAAGAAAGGACCAGAGCACCUGCACCAGUUAACAAUUCCAUCCUGGUAACCAGCUCCUUGACAGAGAUGAGUAUUAGAACUGUCCUUUACUGUCUCUACAGUCCAGACCUUGCUCGCUAUGACCUUUAAUUGUUCCCCAAACAGAAAGGGGAUGAGGAGGCUGUGAGGACUUUGAUGGGACCUUCAUGAAGUGGUACUACAAGUGCAUUGAAGUCAGAGAAUGUUAUUUUAAAGGUGAUUUGUCUUGCACUUCUUUGAAAUUAAAAAAAUAUUCUCCUGAAAAGAAUCAUAAAACAUCUGGAAUACACCUUAUAAAUGAAAUAGUUUGCAUCAGAAAUUAAGACCGAACUCCAUGCUAACCAUGCCUACCACAACUUAUAACAAGAUAUUUUAGACCUGACCACACUAAACCACUGCAUCAUAUCAAAGUAUGCUGUCUUGACUUUAGACAAGCAUGUAUUAGCAAUGGAACUUGUAGGUUGCUCUCAAUCAAUCAUUUGGGUAUUUUUGUGUUUUGGAUUUGCAUUCAGUAGAUGGCUCACAGCAGCCAUCGCUACAAGAAGAUCUCUUAAAUUAGAAAAAGGUCAUGAUUUUAUAAAAGAUGGGACAGUUCAAUAAUGGAUGCAGGUACAUAACUGAUUUUUAUUCUAUCAACUGGGAAGUGGAGCAUGAUGGUUUAAAAUCAAAAUCUAGAAAGAUGAAAUUACAUACAAUAAAGUGGUUUAUUCUGUCUGCCAUUCUAAUGUGUUGGCAAUUAUAAUAAUGAUUUGUAUGUUGGCACAAAGCAUUAACUUUUAUCCUCCUCUUUGGGAGAAAUUUGUAAACUUCUCAUACUUUCCAAGUCCAUUAGUGACAUAAGCUAAGGGUCUAUUUGAAAAUCUUUAACUGUUUAUUUUGAUAUGUUAAUGGUUGAUGCAAAUGGUGUGAAAUGGUAUUUCUGUUUGCAUUAGUGCCUAUAUACAAACUUAAGAAGACUCGGCCGAUAUUGAUUUUUAUCAAUGGUAUUGGAGGGAUUUCCAUAGUGCAAUGUUGUGUUACUGCUUUCUCCAAUACACAUAUACAUGGAGAAAAUGAACAUUAAGGGGGUGAAAAGGAUGGUUGUGGGCAUCAGUGCUGCUUAUUGUAGCUACCUACAAUUAUACUUAUAUUUGACAAGAAUAUUAAUACUUUAGAGUUAUGAUUGAAAUAUGAACUAGUUUAUGUUUGUGUUAUUGGUGGGGAGAAUAAAAGUAUUUAUAAUGUAAAUAAUGUUUACUGGAGUGAUAACAGCAGAAAUAUAUUUUACUGACAUUUGAACCCAGAAACAUGAGACAUUAUUAUAAGAAUUGGCUUGUUAUAUCAUAUCUCUUGUUAGGUUCACCGUUAUCACUUCAAUCAGCAUCUAGUCUUUAGAUCUAAACAGGUCUGGGGGAAUUCUUUUAUUAUGUUGUAUUUAGCACUUAUCUAAAGUUUCUGAAUUACAGAAAGGGACUUAUUUUCUAAAACCCACCGAGUUGAUAUCUGUUUGGAUCCAGACAGAUUAAAGAGAUUUGUUGCUCUGAAAAUUAUUGGAAUCUGAUGUUGGUAUAAUUAUUGUGUGAAGGCGCAUGGCUCAGUGGUUAGAGCGUCAAGCUUACGAUCAUGAGGUUGUGAGCUCAAAUCCCAGACCGGGCUGCGUGUUGUGUUCUUGAGCAAGACACUUUAUUUCACAUUGCUCCAGUUCACUCAGCUGUAGAAAUGAGUUGCGACGUCACUGGUGCCAAGCUGUAUCGGCCCCUUUGCCUUUCCUUUGGAUAACACUGGUGGCGUGGAGAGGGGACGCUGGUAUGCAUGGGAAACUGCUGGUCUUCCAUAAGCAACAUUGCCCGGACUUGUGCCUGGGAGGGUAACUUUUUAGGUGCGAUCCUAUGGUCUGUGUCAUGACUGAAGGGGGUCUCAGAAUAAUUAUUGUACAAACUGUCCAGUUUAAAACUGCUACACAUUUAUAUAUGAGUAUAUGCAAGUGUGUGUGUGUGUGUGUGUGUGUGCAAGGGGUCUAAGGAAGUUUAAUGUCUGUGUGUGUGUGUGUGCAUAUGUGUGUGCAUGUAGAUGUGUGUGUGUGUACAUUUGUUUCUUUGUUGCUCUGUUUGCAUUAUUUGUGUAGGUACUUAUUUGAAAUAAUUGUUUUAUAGUUGGAUAAUUUUCCUUUUGUUCAAUCAUUACUUGUUUCAUAUGUAGAGGCUUUUUCCCCCCAUAACUCUGAGAAUGCAGAGCUACAGGGCAUAAUAUCCACUUCAAAUGCAGACACAACACCAUCAAACAAUCUCAUGUGAAAAGUAGAAAUGAUAACUUUUAUGCAUGUAUGUGCACAUACAGGAAGCCUUCCAUGUAGUUUCUAUCUAAUAGUUAUGCUUGCAAAGCAUAGGAGAAGAUACUUGUCCUUGGUGUCAUGCAGUGGAGCCGAACCUAAAAUGAUCUGGUUGUAAAGUGAAUGUCUUAAUCGCACUACCAUGCCAACACUUCUCUAUCUGUAUCAUCUUCAUCAUCAUCACUUUUACAUCCAUGCUUGCAUCGAUCAGAUGGAAUUCAUCAAGGCACACUUUUAUGUCCCUUCUUGUUGCUAGCUACCACCUGUUUCCCAAGUAUGGUAAUAUUUAUUCAGAAGAUUGAAGAUCAACUGUUAUAUGUUGUCUAGACAGAGAUGCAAACAAACACACCUAUGCACAUGCAUACAUAUGUGUAUAUAUAUAUAUAUAUACACACGUGUGUGUGUGUGCAUGAAGACACAUAGCCUAGUGGUUAGGAGUUUGUACUCACAAUUGUGAGAUUGUGAUUUCGACUCCUAGACUGGAUGUUGUGUUAUGUUCUUGAGCAAAAUGCUUCAUUUCAUGUUGCUCUGUGAUCAUUUCGAGACCUAACACAUGAUACACUUGUGCACCUGCACAAACGAUGUUGAUUUGAUGUAUGGAAUGUGCUUAUGUGAACACAAACAUUUGAUCAUUAUAAAUAAGCCAUUUGUGUGAUUGUUCAGCAAGAAUUGUGGAAACUACCUGUCAUUUAAUGAUGGAAGAGUCCAUAAUGGCGGUGCCCCAGCAUGGCCACAGCUCGUGAGCUGAAACUAGAUAAAAUAAAAAAUAAAAAUAAAUAAUACACACACACACACACACACACACACACACACACACACACACACGCACACACGUGUGCACUAUGGGCUUCUUUCAGUUUGCAUCUAUGAAAUCCACCCAUAAGGUUUUAGUUGGCACAGGUCUAUAACAGAAGCCACUUGCCCAUGGUGGCAUGUAGUGGGAUUGAACCUGAAGCCACAUGGUUGGGAAGUGAGCUUCUUAAGCUCACAGCCAUGCCUACCUCUAUAGUAUAUAUGUGUGUGUACACAAAUAUACACAUACAAACACAAAUUUCUCUCCCUAAGUGUGAAGCAAGAAAACAAAUUAAACUAAUUAUAGUUUUGCAUAAACUUUUUACAGUUAUUUUGUUUUCUGUACAGUUUUAUUUCCUGACAAACUGAUUUUAUUUCCUUUGUUUUGUAUCAAGCAACAACAAUCUUAUAAAUAGUAAAAUAGAAGCAACACCAGCAUCUUGUUUUCAAUUUGAUAUUUGCCCUGCAGGUGUCUACAUAAGCUAUCUAAACUAGUUUAACAUAUUCCUGUAUUUCUUAGAGUGUUUCUCAGGGGAAAGAAUUUAUCUAAAAUAUGAUUUUUCUCUUUGUUUGCAUCAAUUUUUCUGUUUUUUCAACCAUUAAUUAUAAAUCUUGUUUUGUUUUGUUAUUAAUAUUUUACGUAGUCAUUAGUCCUUGUCAACUAACAGUAAGCUAAGUCAUUCUUGUGAUACAAGAAAAGACGAUAAUUUAAUAAAAAGAAAAUAACUUGUUAUAAGCAACACUGAAAUAAUGAAACAAAACAACCAAAAAAAUACAAAACAAGAAAAAUUGGUUUGCCUGUUUUUCAUAAAAUUUAUUCACGAAUCAGUAAUGUUUGAUAAGUUCCAAAAUCCAUCAGUGAUUGAAUAUUUAGAGAGAGAGAGAGAGAGAGGAAUACAGGUAGAUAUAUACAUAUAUGUAGACAUGCAUGCUCAUUAUUUCUUUUUUUCUCUUUCUCUCGAAUGGGAGAGGCAGUCAGGUAAACAUAAAAGAUAAAAGACACACACACACACACACAACUAAUCACUUUUAUGCUACCUUUAUCUCUGUCUUUUAUUUCCUCUAUAUGUGAGAGAUGCACAUAUAUCAACAUUACUUCUUUGCAAACCCUUCCCAACUCCUCCCAAUUUCUUUCAUUCUGCUUUUAUCUCCUUCCUCUAUAUUUCACCUGUUCUUCUUCUCUUUCUACUGCUCUUACUGAGGGGAUGAAGACACACAUUCAUAUAAUCUCUUAUCUAUUGCAAAACAUAUGCACACACACAUACAUGCACAUACAUACAUACAUACAUAUAUAUGUGUGUGUGUAGUUAUAUCCAUUUAUUCAUGAGUGUUACAAGUUUGUUUGCCAAUAGAAAAGAUUUGAUAUUAGCUACUAUCUAUUGCUGCAAACCAAAACAUAACACUCUAUCUCUCCCUCGUCACCCCUCUUUUUUCUCUCACAGAAGUCAUCAUUGACAACUAAAUAGUUUAUACAAAAUGUAUGAUAAGGAAUUUUAGCUCAUCAAAGUUAAUAAUGAACUUCUUAAUAGUUUUAUACUAAUCAAGUUUACUAUAGGACUUUUAUCACAUAAAAGCGUUCUUAACACUCUUUCUUAGAUUUUUAGCACUUGAAUCUCAGUGACAUUUCCUAUUUAGUAGACAUAUUAGCACGUUCUUGGUGCCAGACGCUCAGCUUUUUUACAAUAAAAGAAAUGGUCGAUAAUUGUAGAUUAUCAAAACUGUUUGAACAUUGUUAAAUAGUCUCAGGUUCAAACCUUAGCCUUUUGAAUGAGUUAUACUAACCUUGCACCAUCAGUCUUGCAUUCUCACUAUGUUGUGGUUUUGUCUGCUAUGUGACCUUGCUAUAUGUUCUUUUACACAUCUUGUAUUUAUGAUGUGUGCUGUGCAGAACCCAGAGUAUUUUACAUCUGUCUUGUCAUUCUAUCUUAUUGUGUAAUGUUAUUGUUUAGUCUUAGGUUAGACCAGAUUAAGUAGACCUUUGAUCAGACAUUCAUGUCAUGACCAACUUGUCUGUUUUUGAUAUUUCUCAUAUUAUCUGAUGUGUCCUUUCCUUUUCAACAUGUUAACCACCACAACCUGUUGUGUGAAUUUUGUGAUCAAACCACCAGUGGUAGAUGUUGUAGUUAACAUGUUAAAGACAUUAGAGUAUAUGAUCUGACUGCUAUUUUUAGCAAGUUAAAUUAGCAUUUAGUGGACACUAAUUGCUUUUGUUUGAAGCAUAAAAUGCAGGCCUUUGUGAAGUUGAAUAAGAGAAUGAAAAAAAAUUAUAAUAUCUGUACAUUUUACAAAAAGAAACUGCUCUCUGUAUAUAUUGAAAUAUUUGGUUCUUUUUUAGAAGGUGAAGUUACUCAAUAGAGAGACUCUAUUGAGUUACUAUCAGCAAACUGUACUAUCAGCAAACUGUACUCUCAGCAAAUGCACUAAGCAAAAACUUUUAGGGACCCUGGUCUGGUCCAUAGCAUUGUUGGUUGUGAAUCAUAAAUCCUAAGCAUAAAAUGACAGUGCAUUUGAGAUGACAUUCUGCAGGCAAGUGCUGUAGAUCAGUUGGGCAACUCAUUGAAAAGUCCUCCUGGGUAAAAAAGAAAACUUGGUGAAGAUAGUUAUAUGGCUUAUGUCAUCAGCACCCAGAACCUUUGUGCUCAUAUCUUCAGGGGCUGGGUGGACAGCGAACAUUCUCAUGGGGGAGAAAGGCAAAGAUGGAGUAAUGACAUCAAGAACCAAAUAGAGGGGACUCUGGUAAAGUAUAUAGCUACAACAUAAGACUACAGCAUAUGAUGAUGAGUGGUGGUCAUGUCUGGGGCCAGUGACUUUCAGCUGUGAGGAUGAGUACAUUCAUUCUUUUAUGCAGACUUCUACAGUAUUAACAGUGCCACUUACUAUGAACAUUCAAUCCAUAGAAAUUAAUUUGCAAUACAUGUUUUUGUUUUGUUAUUAUAACUGAGAAGGUCAAUCAAUGUCCAAUUUUUGCGUCUACCAUCAUCAUGAGAAAGAGGAAGAUUAUUGUAAAUACUGUCAAGUACUGAAGUCUAAGUUGGUGAAUAUUUGGUUGUGUCAUAUUCUUACAGAAUCUCCUGAACAAGAUUACCCAGAUAGUCGUAUUCCUCUCGAUAAAACCAUAAAACUUGCUGUCUCUUGUUUCUGCUUCCAUGUUGUACAUCAUCCCUUCUUGACCACAUCAUCCCUUCUUGACCACCUUAUCCCUUCUUGACCAGCUUUCAUCACUUGCACAUAGUAAUAAAGUGAAAAAAAAACACGCAACCCUCCCCUCCCAUUUAUUUCAAUCCAAGAAGACACCAGUGCUCUAUUGAUACUCAUUCUAUCAACCCCUGAAAGGAUGAAAGGGAAAGUUGAUCUCGGCAGGAUUUGAAAUCAGAAUGUAUAGAUGUUCAAAAUGCCGCUAAGCAAUUUGCCCAACAUGCUAGCGAUUCUGCCAGCUUCACUGCCCUACUGCAAAGUAUAAUAUUAAAAAUAAGAAUAAUGGCAUAUAGCCCUCAUUAUCCACAAUGCGGUCACACAUUAUUGUUAACCAUUCCCAUGGUACGCAUUCAUCAUAACCUUUCAAACUACUGUAAAAUCUUCUCAAUUCCAACUUGAAACAAUUGUGAACUACCACAUAUCCAUUAUUCUUUCUCUGUAAACUACUAGACUGAUUUCUGCAGAGCCAAGUCUAUCAGAAAAUUGCUAUUGUCAUUCACCAGUAAUUUCUUGCUCCUGAAAAGCAGUGUUUUUAUCCAUAAAUGUUAUCAGAGGUUUUAGCUCUCUCUAACACAAAGCUGCCAACAUAGAAAUCCUACAAAUCUCUACAUUUUAAUAGAGCAGUUUAAUUCAAAUGAUUAAGUCUCUCUUUCAAUUCCAUUUUUCUGUUGUAAUUCACUUGAUUUAUUUGAAUUAAUUUUGAAAAUAACAAAGAAUCUAGUUAAAUAACUUUGUCAUUAUUUAAGCUGAUGUUUGGAACAGAUUAACUAGAUAUGUGAUGGAGGAAAGUUUUGAUGUAGACCACUUUUAAGCUAAGUUUUAAAUUCAAGUAAGUUUAUAUUAUUGAAUCAAUAGUAAGCAGAUUGGUCUCAAAAGGAUUAAUGUCUAUGGGGCUCUCUCUGACCCUGAUUUUAACGAUUCUGAUUAACGAUGUUGUCUCUUCCACCAAUUCUCAUUUCUGAGCAUAUGAUACCAUUCUUAACUCCCUCUUAAGCUUCUGCAUGCAGUUGUUUUCCAAUUGUAACAUUGAUUCACACUGUUUUGAUGAAUAGAGACACUGGAAAGAUUCUUAGAAAUAAACAUGACAACAUGGUAUCUUACAAAAAUUUUAUUACUUAUAUCAUAGAAGUAAAAAAUAAAACAAAAAAAACCAGUCUUGCUCUACACCCUGUUUGCAUCUGAACAUCUCACAGCUUGAACACUCGAACAUACUAUAAAUCUAGGAUACACAAUCCCAGAUUCAUUUUUCAUAGCAACCGUAAUUCUAUAAAAGUGAAGCUUAAGUUUAGGUUUCAUUUUCUGAACAAGAAAAUACUUCAACACUGUUCGCUUAAACCUGAAUGUAAUCAUUGUAUGUGUUGAUAUUGAUCAACACCCACAGUUACAGCCAAACAAUAUUGAUAGUUUCCUUCAUGCUGAUUCCACCAACCAACUAACUAACCAACAAACAACAAUUACUAUCUCAUAGACACACUGUUUUUUCUCUCAGUAUUUUCUAUGCUUCUACAGUAACUUUUAUUUCUCUGAACUACUAAGCUAUGUACUAUAUCUUCUUCAACACACGAUGCAUCCGUCUCGCCUCAUAUUGCCACUUGUUUUAUCUCUAAACAUCAUCAUCAUUUAAUAUCUGUUUACUAUGCUGGCAUGGGUUGGACAGCUUGACAGGAACUGUUAUGGCCAAGGACUACACCAGGUUCCAUAUUCUGUUUUGGCUUGUUUUCUACAAUUGGAUGCCCUUCCUAAUACCAACCACUCCACAAAAUGUACUGUGAUUUUUAUGUGGAAACAUCACAGGUGCUUUUUAAGUGGCACCUGGACAAGUGCUUUUUACAUAGCACCUUGGUUUUAGGAUCUCAAUUCUCAUUUGGUGGGUGGGUCUUCUGAAAUGCAGCAAUGUGCCGCAUAUCUCAAUCCUCUGUCAUCUCCUUUGUAAAGUUCAGCAUUUUGAGAUCACUAUACUACAUAUUUCCUUAAAAUUUCUUUCUUAGGACCAUUACCAUCUGCAACUUGCACAGUCUUCAUUUUCCCCUACAAUUAUUUAUCAAAUUAUAUUCAAACUGUUAUGGGAGUGUCUUGAACAGCCCCACAUGCCUGAAGGUGGACUGAUUCAAUAAAUAAGAACUAAGUGAACUAUCAAGGAGUAGUUGACAGUGUUAGUUAGACCAUGUUGGUCAACUGUGUUAGUUCGACAGUUGGUAGAUGAACAAUGAAAACUGAAUAUUGUACCUAUGUUUAAGUAGUAGAGAGCAUUCCGUGUUAACAUAUAUUUCUGCAAUAGGUAAUUUUUAGAUAACCACUACCAACUAUUUUUUUGUGUAAUACCAUUUUAUGUCAGAUGUGUAUACCCACUUCAUAGUACAAACUAAAUACCAACUGCAUAUAUAUUGUAUGGCUGUAAGUGCUUGUAAAGUUUGAGUACUUCUCUUUCUCCUUGAAAUACAUAAAGGAAUUUUUUUAAAAAAAAGGAGGUCUUGUAUUACAAGAUCUAAACUCUUAACUGUGUUAUUAUUGAUCUGGCACAGGAUGGUGGAUUGGCAAAAGUCUUCAUUCUAUUUCUUUCAGUUCUUUACAUUCUAAGUUCAAACCCUGCUGAGGUCAACUUUGCCUUUAAGCCUCUGGGAAUCAUCUAACUGCUCCCCUGCAUCUUUAGCCUGCAAACUCCCUCAUUAUAAAUCAAUAUUGAAUAAGUAAUAGAUGGGCAUUGCAGUCUUUUUCAUCAAACAUUUUCAUGGUACCUCAAUCUUGCAAGAGAGUGUAAAUUUUUCAGUUACAAAAUGUAUGGGUGCAUAUUAUGAAGCAAAGCAGUGAUUGUAAGAAACAGUAACCCUAUAAGCCAAAUUGUUAUGUCAUGUCCUUCCAGAAACCAUUUGAAAUGGUUAAUAUUCUAUGCUCAUUCUGCUGUUUGUUUGUUUGUUUACCAUUCGGAUUACUGUCAAACGUGAUGCUCAUUUAUUCACAUUGUUUUGAAUGUGAAUAAAGCAUGCAUUAUCUCAUAGCUUGAAGAUUUCAAUGAUGUGAUUGUUUAUUUUAAGAAUGAUGUUGUGGGGUAAGUGUGAGGGGCUGGAUCUAACCAGUUUCAACAUAAAACAGAUGGAAUAUUUUGGCUAGAUAUAGCUGGUUUAAAUGCUAACUUUUAUAUUUGAAAAAUAUCUUAAACUAAUGGUUACUAGUAGAGUAAAAUAAUGCAACUGAUUUCUUGUUAUUUCCUUUAACUGUGGAUGUAACUGUGAGUGUAUAACUUUUGAUUAGAUUGAAGUAUGUCUCGUAUAUAUGCAUGAGUAUGAAUGUAGUAGGAUCAACUUAUUCCACACGUGGUGUACAAUUGAUUUGGUGAAGCAUAAGUUAUAGACCUAAACACUAUAUUUUUAUUCUUUUACUUGUUUCAGGGUUUUCUAGUCAAAGAAAUCGACCCCAGGACUUAUUCUUUGUAAGCCUAGUAUUUAUUCUAUUGACUCUUUUGCCAAACUGCUAAGUUACAAGGACUUAAACACACCAACAUUGGUUGUCAAACGAUGGUGGGGGACGAAUACUGACACACACAUAAAUACACACACACAUAUACAUACAUACACACACACACAACAUACUUCUUUCAGUUUCCAUCUACCAAAUCCACUCUCAAAGCUUUAGUGUGCCUGAAGCUAGAGUAGAAGAUACUUGCUGAAGGUGCCACACAGUGGGGCUGAACCCAGAACCAUGUUCUUGGGAAUCAAGCUUCUUAUCACACAGCCACUCACGUGUACAUACAAAGGUGUAAUAUAUUAAACUGAUAUCUCUGUAUGCAUACAAACACAUGCAUAUCAUAAUUAGUUUCUUGAUAUAACACACCUUCUCAUAUACUAUUUCGUGUUAAUCUGUUUGGAGCAUUUUCUAUAGAUUUAUUGCUUGUGAUACAAUAAUAAUAAUAAUGAUAAUAAUAAUAAUAAUAAUAAUAAUAAUAUGAUGAUGGCAUACAAAAUAUAUAAAUUAUAUCAAUCAAUGAGAAUUUGUUGCACUUCUUUUUUUUCUUCUAAAGAUUUCUCAGGUGUUGUAAGUAAUAGGGUUUUUUAUCUUCAUUAACCCUUUAGUGUUCACAUUAUUCUACCCAAAUUAAUGCUUUUUCAUCCUCGUUGUUUUGAACUAAUCAUGCAUUAUCUUGAAGCUAUGAGAUUUUGAUGAGGUAGCUGUUAAUUUUUAAACGAUAGUGUAGGGUUGGUGUGAGAGACCAGAUCUGGCCAGUUUGAACAUAAAACAGACAGAAUACUUUUGGCCGGAUAUGGCCGGUUUAAAUGCUAAAGGGUUAAUUUUUUUUUCCCGUUCAGUAAUUUCACUUUCCAUGUUGCUUUAUUUGGAAGCAGGCCUCAGCAUGAAAAUAUUGAGGGAGACAGAACUUACAUCAACCUCCCAAUAUAGCUACUAAUGUUUACAUCUUAGUCAUUAAUGGCGGUAAAUAAAUAUAUAGUAUUUAUUAGUAAUAACUAUAUAUAGUAGUCAUUAGUAAUAAUAUUCUCCUUUUAUUUCUGUUUACGAGUAACCCUGUGAUAUGUGAUUGAGUAAUUGAGAAGUCAUGUCUUUAAUCCUUUCCAAAGAGUAAAAUCCUUCUUGUCGUGAAUGACCCUGGGAUUGCACCUAGAAAGUAACCCUCUGAGGCACAAGUCCGGGCGAAGUUGUUUAUGGAAGGCCAGCAGUUGCCCAUGCCUUGUGGUUCUUCACUUCUAGUUCUUUACUGUCUGGGUUCAAAUCCUGUCAAGGUCAACUUUGCCUUUCCUCCUUUCAGCUCAAUAAAAUAAAGACCAGUCAAGGGAUCAAUAUAAUCAAUGAACCAUCCCCCUCGAAUCUCUGGCCUUGUACCUAUGUUAGAAACAAUUACUGUUCUGUAUUUGAAAGAAACAAAAGCAAGAUGUAACAUUAAUUUUGUAGCAGACCUGGUCUGCCAGUAAUGUGCUGAACAAAAAUUAGUUCUGUGUACUACAAGACUAUGUUGCUGCAAACACGUGUAGCUGCAAUUUUCUUUUUUUUCUUUUCCAUCGCUCUCUCUCUCUCUCUCUCUGUUUUUUAUGUAGGAGUCCUUGUGUAUUUUGGAAUGUGUAGAACUGUAGGGAAUUGGUAUAAAGGUGAUAGUUCUAGAAAAACAAAAAGGAAAAUGAAAAAAAUUAC
rnacentral:lncRNA from 1 species